rnacentral:rRNA from 1 species
UUCGCUGAAAGAGCGUCCGAGCAAUGGGGGGACGCAGGAAGGUAUGCCGUGCUAGGCGUUGGUUGCCCUGGUUUAAGCCUGUAGGGAGAGUCGCCAGGCAAAUCCGGUGGCUCGUUAAUCCUGAGGGGUGAUGACGAGAUCAAUUAAGAUCGAAGCGGCAAAUCCUACACUGACAAGAAAAGCCUCUAGCGAGUUCUUUUGGUGUCCGUACUCGAAACCGACACAGGUGGGUGGGGUGAGAAUCCUAAGGCGUUGAGUGAAACCUCGUUAAGGAACUCGGCAACUUGACACCGUAACUUCGGGAGAAGGUGUGCCCUCAUUAGGUGUAAAAAUUUACUUUUGAAGCCGAAGGGGGUGGCACAUAAAUGGCCGGGGCGACUGUUUACUAAAAACAUAGGACUCUGCUAAAUCGCAAGAUGACGUAUAGGGUCUGAUGCCUGCCCGGUGCCGGAAGGUUAAGGGGAUGCGUUAGUCUUCAGGGCGAAGCGUUGAACCGAAGCCCCGGUAAACGGCGGCCGUAACAAUAACGGUCCUAAGGUAGCGAAAUUCCUUGUCGGGUAAGUUCCGACCUGCACGAAUGGCAUAACGAUCUCGGCGGUGUCUCAACGAGGGGCUCAGUGAAAUUGCAGUGCCGGUGAAGAUACCGGCAACCCGCAGAAGGACGGGAAGACCCCGUGGACCUUUACUAUAACUUGACAGUGUAUCUUGGGCAGGUUUGUGUAGGAUAGGUGGGAGACUAUGAAGCUGGGACGCUAGUUUCGGUGGAGUCAACCUUGAAAUACCACCCUGAUCUGCUCGGGCUACUAACUUACUCCCGUUAUCCGGGAGAAGGACACUGUCUGGUGGGUAGUUUGACUGGGGCGGUCGCCUCCCAAAAUGUAACGGAGGCGCGCUAAGGUUCCCUCAGGCUGAUUGGAAACCAGCCGUCGAGUGUAAAGACAUAAGGGAGCUUGACUGCGAGACGGACACGUCGAGCAGGUGCGAAAGCAGGUCUUAGUGAUCCGGUGGUUCCGAAUGGAAGGGCCAUCGCUCAACGGAUAAAAGGUACCCCGGGGAUAACAGGCUUAUCUCCCCCAAGAGUUCACAUCGACGGGGAGGUUUGGCACCUCGAUGUCGGCUCAUCGCAUCCUGGGGCUGGAGCAGGUCCCAAGGGUAUGGCUGUUCGCCAUUUAAAGCGGUACGCGAGCUGGGUUUAGAACGUCGUGAGACAGUUCGGUCCCUAUCCUCUGUGGGCGGAGGAGAUUUGAGAGAAGCUGUCCCUAGUACGAGAGGACCGGGAUGGGAGCACCUCUGGUGUUCCUGUUGUCGCGCCAGCGGCAUAGCAGGGUAGCUACGUGCGGAACGGAUAACCGCUGAAAGCAUCUAAGUGGGAAGCCGGUCUCAAGAUAAGAUCUCCCUUCGACUUCGGUCGACUGAAGGCCUCCUGAAGACUACAGGAUUGAUAGGCUGGGUGUGUAAGCACAGCAAUGAGUUGAGCUAACCAGUACUAAUAGGCCGUGAGGCUUGACCCA